rnacentral:rRNA from 1 species
UACGGAGGGAGCUAGCGUUGUUCGGAAUUACUGGGCGUAAAGCGCACGUAGGCGGCUUUGUAAGUUAGAGGUGAAAGCCCGGGGCUCAACUCCGGAAUUGCCUUUAAAACUGCAUCGCUAGAAUUGUGGAGAGGUAAGUGGAAUUCCGGGUGUAGAGGUGAAAUUCGUAGAUAUCCGGAAGAACACCAGUGGCGAAGGCGGGUCUCUGGGCCGAUACUGACGCUGAGGAGCGAAAGCGUGGGGAGCGAACAGG